rnacentral:rRNA from 1 species
UGGGGAAUAUUGCACAAUGGGCGCAAGCCUGAUGCAGCCAUGCCGCGUGUGUGAAGAAGGCCUUCGGGUUGUAAAGCACUUUCAGCGGGGAGGAAGGCGAUAAGGUUAAUAACCUUGUCGAUUGACGUUACCCGCAGAAGAAGCACCGGCUAACUCCGUGCCAGCAGCCGCGGUAAUACGGAGGGUGCAAGCGUUAAUCGGAAUUACUGGGCGUAAAGCGCACGCAGGCGGUCUGUCAAGUUGGAUGUGAAAUCCCCGGGCUCAACCUGGGAACUGCAUUCGAAACUGGCAGGCUAGAGUCUUGUAGAGGGGGGUAGAAUUCCAGGUGUAGCGGUGAAAUGCGUAGAGAUCUGGAGGAAUACCGGUGGCGAAGGCGGCCCCCUGGACAAAGACUGACGCUCAGGUGCGAAAGCGUGGGGAGCAAACAGG